CUAUGAGAGUCAGCUUUUUAACAUCAGUUACAAAAUGCAAGCCCCAGCUGCCCAAGUCCCCAGUCUUUGGAAACCUCUGAACCCCUGUCUCCCAGAGCAAGUUUCUUUUGUGCCUAAGGUGCUGUUUUUCAACCCUAACCUUCUGACCAGGAAUGAUACCACUUUCAAAAUAAGAUGCCAACAGGUAAUUUCUUAUCAUGAAGAGCCCUGUGGCCCCAGUCAUAGGUCAUUUUGCCUGAAUGGGGGGAUUUGUUAUGUGAUACCCACUGUUCCCAGCCCAUUUUGUAGAUGCAUUGAGAAUUACACAGGAGCCCGGUGCGAAGAGGUUUUCCUUCCGAGUACCAAGACCCAAAGCGAGAGUGAGCUGUUUGCAGCUUUCUUGACUGUAGCGCUGCUCCUAGGCGUACUGACCCUCGGGGCCGUCUACUUCCUUUGCAGGAAAGGCCACCUCCAGAGGGCUAGCUCAGCCCAGUAUGACGUUGGCCUGGUGGAGACCAGCAGCAUUAAUAUCUACAACAAACAUGGAGAGAAUUGAAGAAACACCAGCCAAGUGAACCAAGAUAUUACAUCCAAGCUGCAGGGGAAUUAAUGAGGCCAUGGAAGGGGUUUCGUUGAAGCAGGUCCUGAGCCAAUCUGCAGUGCUUUAAAAACAAGAGCCAACUGCUUUUACCAUCUCCUGCUCCUCCUCAAGUGUUUGUGGCCACAUGCAUCCAUCUGUAAAAACAAGGUUCACCACAAGGUUUAUCUUGGCCAAGGACGUCUGGUGGACACUAAAACCCACAAAAGCUCACUUUUAUCCUUCUGGAAGUUUUCUGAAGGUUUCAUGCCUCCUUGCCUUCAGCAUUGACCAUAGCUUUCUGUGCUGGAUCCCUACUUCAUGUGUAAUGGCCUAAAUUCAGCUUUCUCACCUCACUGCACGUUCAAGCUGAGACUCUCAAGUGGACUGGGACGGAGGGGGAGAAGGGAGGCUCCCACCUUUCAGUGACCUGGGCCCUAGUGGGCCUGGUCUUUUGGGGUGGUGGUGGAAAAGGUCUCAUUUGCCACUUCUCCAGCUCGGAUUUCCAACUCACUUUGUUUUCAAAGCAGCCCUCAGAAACGGGACAUAGAUGUAGCGCCAUUUGACAGAGGGGAAAGGGAUGACUUGUCCAAGGUCAUCCACUGUAAAUGGCAAAACCAGGACUCCAAGCCGCCUCUUCUGAUUCCGAGACCAGGGCUUUGGUUGUUACCUGACAGUGCUUUGGGUGAUGGCAUUAUGGGGUCCCUGUCAACUAGUCUAUGGCAUAAACAGGUAAUGAAAAAAGAUUCAACCAAGCAGCCUUUGGGAAGAAAACCACAGGUGAAAAAGGAAGUAGCUGAGUGGAUCAGUCUUGAUUAAGUAGUGAACAGUUCAACAGUAAGUAAAUAGUUUUGCAGAAGCACAGUCAGCAGUGUGGGAGCUCAGGCUUUACUCCUGCAGAUGUUAUUCAGCUGUGUCCUCGCUGGGCUUUCUUCACAUUCUCUAUCUGGGGUAAGGAUUCCAUUUUGGUUUCUGCCUUUGAAAGUAACCUAGGCUUAGUCUAAGUCCAAGCCCAAGGUCCCCUCACAUUCCAAGUCCAACCCACCUCCUUUGACUGAUGAGCCAAAGAGAGCGGUUCAUUCAUUCGUUAUUAUGGCCAGGUUCAAGAUGAGGCAGAGGGUGAAAAUGUGACUAGUCUGAGGUCACAUAGAUCUGAUCCUCAAGCCCAAGCCCUCUGAUCCUGAGUCCAAGGCUCUCGCCACCACCUCCCUAUUCCUCCACAAUUUCUUCACACAUAGACAUGUAGUGUCUAGCUUUCAGCUGAGGCAGUACUAAGUUACUCCUUUGUUGGUGGUCUUUCUUAUCUAAGCUAAGGGUGUUUCACAGUUGCAGCCAGCCAGCCAUCCUAGCUUAAAACCAAAUGUUACAUAGUCACUGAACUCGGGGACAGCGUUCUCUCAGGAGCAGGUAGACAGUGGUCAUGUUCAUCAGAAAGCUCAUCUUCUUUUCAGCUCGGCUCCCUCUUCUAUCUUUGACAACCCUUUCUGCCUUAGGACAAGGCGGUAAACAUACAAGAAAGAUGUUUGGUCUCAGAUGGAAAGGGAUCCUCUGGAUAUCCUAUUGAUAGUUGCUCUAACGACAGAAUGAACGUCCCUUGGGAAACACCCCUAAACCUUUCAUAUGUGCUUAUUUGUAUAAAUAAAAUGACCCAUUCAA